rnacentral:tRNA from 1 species
ACCUCGUUAGUAUAGUGGUUCGUAUCCCCGCCUGUCACAUGGGAGACCGGGGUUCAAUUCCCCGAUGGGGAA